rnacentral:lncRNA from 1 species
CUAUGACCUAUAAAAUUACCUUCUCUUUUAUUUUUAUAAAAUUGAGAUGCAGAAAAAAAUCAUUGUUAGGUAAUGUUCUGAUUAACUGAGCUUUAACAAUGUUUUGUUUUCUUUUCUUCUUUGUAGAGAAAAUACUGGAAUAUACUGACAGAAUUAUUAAGAAACAGAAUAAAAAAAGAGAGACAUUUUGGCAUCUCUAUGCCACGGUGCCUGUUGAAGCUCACUUGCAAAUGGGAAGAUGCCAAGUUAUCCAUCCUACAGAACAGACUUCAGGGUUGCUUGAGUUAAGUUAA